AUUGAACGCUGGCGGCAUGCUUUACACAUGCAAGUCGAACGGUAGACCCUUUCGGGGGUUGAGAGUGGCGAACGGGUGAGUAAUGCAUCGGAACGUGCCUAGUCGUGGGGGAUAACGUAGCGAAAGUUACGCUAAUACCGCAUACGCACUGAGGUGGAAAGCGGGGGACCGUAAGGCCUCGCGCGAUUGGAGCGGCCGAUGUCGGAUUAGCUAGUUGGUGAGGUAAAGGCUCACCAAGGCGACGAUCCGUAGCGGGUCUGAGAGGAUGAUCCGCCACACUGGGACUGAGACACGGCCCAGACUCCUACGGGAGGCAGCAGUGGGGAAUUUUGGACAAUGGCGCAAGCCUGAUCCAGCCAUGCGCGUGC
rnacentral:rRNA from 1 species